rnacentral:lncRNA from 1 species
GAAUCUGAAGCAGACUCCAGGCUCUAGGCUGUCAGCACAGAGCCAGAUGCAGGGCUCGAACUUACGAACCCUUGAGAUCAUGACCUAAGCCAAGUCAGACGCUUAACUGACUGGGCAACUCAGGGGUCCCAAAUUUUCUUAUCUCUUAUUGAGUUUUAAGAAUUAUUUAUAUAUUCUUUAAACAAAUCUUUCAUCAAAUAUAUAAUUUGCAACUGUUUUUCCUUGUCUGUGGCUUGCCUUUUCACUGUCUAAAUGGUGUUUUUAAGAGAACAGAUUUUUAAUUUCAGUGAUGUACGAUUAACCAAUUUGUUCUUUUAUGGAUCUUGCUUUUGGUACAGUGUUUAAGAAGUCCUUUUGUAGUGGGGCAGGUGCUGGGUAUUUUAUUGAUGGUACAUGACAAGAAGUGUUGGCCCAAUCUAAGGUCACAAAGCAUUUUUAAUUUGUUUCCUCUUUCUCUUUCUCUUUUCAUUCUUUGGUACCAGGGCCAGAAGUUAUAGAGCGGGUUACUCGAUGUCAGGAGACUUGUUUUCUGCAUGGAACAGCUUUGUGCCAUCUGAUUUGCCAUUUGGAUUUGAUGCAUUAGAAAGAAGGACACUCUUGCAAGGAGAGGAGAGUGCUGUCACCUACUGAACUGCUUCACAAGGAGAAGGCAGAAAAAAAAAAAGUUGUAGAAACAGUUUCUCAUCUGGAUCACUGUAAGAUACAGAGGAUUUACUGGCUGGUACUGGAAUGGUUCAAGAGGGUUUUUUGUUUAACUGAUCAGAGCCUUAAAGCAGAAGAAGAAGGAGAAGGAGAAGGAGGAGGAGGAGGAGGAGGAGGAGAAGGAGAAGGAGAAGGAGAAGAAGAAGAAGAAGAAGGAGGAGGAGGAGAGGAAGAAAGAAGAAGAGGGGGAGAGGGGGGGGAAAUAGGAAUUUCAGUAUAUCUACCUUACUCCAUUUGUUCCAUUUUGCUUCAAAUAGGUUUUAUGAUGAGUUGGCAUUUUAAAAUAAAUAUCCUAUUAGUCUGAUGAGAGGAGGAGAACACACUGACAUGUGAUUUGAAGAAAAAUUUAGGUUUGAAUGGAAAAUAAGUUUCGAUGAUAUUAUAGUAACUGCCUUAUUCUUCGAACAUUAUUUUCUGAGAACAAAGAAAAUAAAUAUAACCUUUCUUUCCUCCUUCCUUUCUUG